rnacentral:rRNA from 1 species
AUACGAAGGGUGCAAGCGUUAAUCGGAAUUACUGGGCGUAAAGCGCGCGUAGGUGGUUCGUUAAGUUGGAUGUGAAAGCCCCGGGCUCAACCUGGGAACUGCAUCCAAAACUGGCGAGCUAGAGUAUAGCAGAGGGUGGUGGAAUUUCCUGUGUAGCGGUGAAAUGCGUAGAUAUAGGAAGGAACACCAGUGGCGAAGGCGACCCCCGGGGCUAAUCCUGACACUGAGGUGCGAAAGCGUGGGGAGCAACCAGGAUUAGAUACCCUGGUAGUCCACGCCGUAAACGAUGUCGACUAGCCGUUGGGAUCCUUGAGAUCUUAGUGGCGCAGCUAACGCAUUAAGUAGACCGCCUGGGGAGUACGGCCGCAAGGUUAAAACUCAAAUGAAUUGACGGGG